rnacentral:lncRNA from 1 species
GUUGAUCAUUUUGGUGAGUCAUUUGGAGCAUUUUGAGUAUGAUUUAUCGCGAGAAGUGAACUAAGAAGUUGAACCUCAAGGUAUGGGCUAUGUAAUACAUGAGUUUUUCGUGCCAUGCAUCGUGCAAAUUUGUUUGUUUUUGAGCUUGUAAUUAGCUAAGUGAUGUUGUAUUACUGAUUUUUUGGAACAUGACCGGACAAGAUAUGGUGCACUUAUAGUACUAAUUUCGACAAGAUGUAGUUGCAAAUGUUGUAGAUCAAUAUUAGCUAUGUCCAUCUAUGUUUUUUUUUCCACAGGCACAAUGUUGUUAGUGUUGUCAUUAAGUUGUAAUUAGUACUUUCGUUGUACGUUUAAGACGGCUUAGAGGUGAUGUAGUUGCAAAUGGUGCACUUAUAGUACCAAACAAGAAGGAGAUGACGUAGUUGAAAUAUUGUGUGUCGAUCAUGGAUCUCCCUUUUGAGGUGAUGACUGCAUGCAAAGAGCAAUAUAGACAUGUGGAAAGCUACACUUUGUCUCCUUGGAAGAUGCAGAUGGACUAGGAAAAUCAAAGCACGUUUUGUUUGCCCUCAAAACAACUGUAGCAACAGUAGAUUGCUAGAGAUAAAUAGAUGAGAUGCAAAGCAUCGCGCUAAAGACGCCCUCGU